GCCAUUAAAGGAUCUUAGGACGAGCCCUAUAAGAACCCUCCUCUUCUCUAAGAGAGGACAUAACAAUCACCAACGAUCGUUGGAGUUCCUCUCUGAUUUUCUCGAUUGAAGCCGCGGCCCCUCGACUCGUGCUCACCGCGAUUUCACGCUGGUGGGAGUCAUCAGAGGCUGUGGUAAGUCCUUCCUCCUCUUUCUCUCUUCUCUCCCUUCUUUUUCAUGUCGGU
rnacentral:lncRNA from 1 species